AAACGGAGCAAGUACGAAAAGAAAACGUUGCUUGGAUGCGAGGAAUACAUAUCAAAUGGAAAUUUGCAUCGCUAUUAGUUAGCGUUUAUUAAGCAAAGCAUUAAAUGGGUCAAUAUGUUGAUCCGAGCCAGGUACUUUUGGAUGCCGGAAGAUGAUCAAGCUCAACGAGGAACCGAACAUGAUAAAGAUACACGCUUCUACACUUUGCAUCGUCUUUAAUUUUAAACGACGAAUCUGAUCACGUUAUGUUAAAUGACUUAUGAUUUGUAAGAGUUUUAAUAAACCCGUAUUUCCGACGUAUAUGUAAUCUAAAUUACAUGGUUGUUUUUUGUAUAUUUUACGUUAAAACUUGAUUUUUAAG